AGAUUAGAGGGCUAGCGACUGCAGAAGAAGAGUAACACGUCAUCUCUGUGCUUCUUUGUC
rnacentral:precursor_RNA from 1 species